rnacentral:rRNA from 1 species
GCAAAACGCGAAGAACCUUACCAGGCCUUGACAUGCAGAGAACUUUCCAGAGAUGGAUUGGUGCCUUCGGGAACUCUGACACAGGUGCUGCAUGGCUGUCGUCAGCUCGUGUCGUGAGAUGUUGGGUUAAGUCCCGUAACGAGCGCAACCCUUGUCCUUAGUUACCAGCACGUUAUGGUGGGCACUCUAAGGAGACUGCCGGUGACAAACCGGAGGAAGGUGGGGAUGACGUCAAAUCAUCAUGGCCCUUACGGCCUGGGCUACACACGUGCUACAAUGGUCGGUACAGAGGGUUGCCAAGCCGCGAGGUGGAGCUAAUCUCACAAAACCGAUCGUAGUCCGGAUCGCAGUCUGCAACUCGACUGCGUGAAGUCGGAAUCGCUAGUAAUCGCGAAUCAGAAUGUCGCGGUGAAUACGUUCCCGGGUCUUGUACACACCG